ACAAAACCCAGAGAAAUGCAUAUGCUUGUCUAGUCUUAGGCUAAACACAAUGGCAGCAUUAGCACGUCUGUUCUAUUCACUAUCUGUCUCUCCCUUUCUCUCUCUCGCUUCUCUGUCUCAGUAGGCAUGGGUGUGAGUGGAGGUGGCAGAAGGAGAGGGCUGAGGCGGGCAGCAGGUGGACCUGGCUACAGCUGCGUGUGGCAGAGCUCGAGGGACGCAUCCAACAGCUGGAGGACCUGCACAAACAGAUCACCUUCACCAAGGGGGGUGUGGUCUUGGCAGAGUCGCAGCCGUUGACGGACAGGCAGAUCCAGCAGACGUUACUAACGGAGACAGCAGGGCUGUCGUUCAGGGCGGGGGGGACCGCUAGAGACCCUCCCUCCAACAUGGAGAACGAACCCAGCAGCCCCACACGCCUCCUCAGGAACAUACAGAGACAGUGGCCUGCUCCUGGGAGGAUGUGACCCCUUCUCCCAGAAGGGAUCCAAGAGGAGGAGAGAGAACCGCAGGAGGCCGCACUUCCUCCAAGUGGAUGCCACCUGUGUCUCAGCCCGCACACGACCCCUGGUGACCUAUCACAAACCUCGACUCUUCAUUAACACCACCCACAGACAGCAGGACUCAGCCUCCCUUUCCUCCUCCCUCUGUCCCACCUUUGUGUCCUGUGACCCCCUGGCCCUGUGUUCUGACCCAGCCUGUUCCUCCGGCAGCACCCUGAUCUCCAGGACCAGUGGCUUUAGGACACUCCCGGUUCUCUCUCUCUCCUCAGAUAGCCUUCUGUCCCACCACCUCCAGAAUGCUGCCCUGCUCAGAGAGGACUGGGUCCAGUGACCUCUACUACCCGUCAAGACAGAGUCCAGUCAUGUCUACUACCACCACAUCUAUAUGGACAGGGGACACACUUGUCCAUCAGGGUUCAGUGAGUGGCAUCUAAUAGACUAUUACUAAU
rnacentral:lncRNA from 1 species